rnacentral:rRNA from 1 species
UGGAGUGAAAGGCGACGGCUCAACCGUCGACGCGCUUCGGAAACUGGGGGACUUGAGGGCAGGAGAGGCGAGCGGAAUUCCCGGUGUAGCGGUGAAAUGCGUAGAGAUCGGGAAGAACACCAGUGGCGAAGGCGGCUCGCUGGACUGGCCCUGACGCUGACGCGCGAAAGCGUGGGGAGCGAACGGGAUUAGAUACCCCGGUAGUCCACGCCGUAAACGAUGGGCACUAGGUGUGGGAGGUAUCGACCCCUCCCGUGCCGGAGUUAACACACUAAGUGCCCCGCCUGGGGAGUACGGCCGCAAGGUUGAAACUCAAAGGAAUUGACGGGGGCCCGCACAAGCAGUGGAGCAUGUGGUUUAAUUCGACGCAACGCGAAGAACCUUACCCGGGCUUGACAUCCCCGGAACACCCGAGAGAUCGGGUGGCUCUACGGAGCCGGGAGACAGGUGCUGCAUGGUUGUCGUCAGCUCGUGUCGUGAGAUGUUGGGUUAAGUCCCGCAACGAGCGCAACCCUUGUCCCGUGUUACCAGCGUAAAGGCGGGGACUCACGGGAGACUGCCGGUGACAAACCGGAGGAAGGUGGGGAUGACGUCAAAUCACCAUGGCCCUUAUGUCCGGGGCUACACACGUGCUACAAUGGCCGGCACAGCGGGAUGCGAAGGGGCGACCCGGAGCGAAUCCCUGAAAGCCGGUCCCAGUUCGGAUCGCAGGCUGAAACCCGC